GACGAACGCUGGCGGCGUGCCUAAUACAUGCAAGUCGAACGGAAAGGCCCUGCUUUUGUUGCUUUCUCGUUUGGCGAACGGGUGAGUAACACGUGUGUAUCCUGUCCUUAUCUUUGUGAUAUCUUUACGAAACUGGGGCUCUUACCGGAUAUGAUCUCCUGCUGCAUGUUGUGGGAUGGUAAGUUUCGGUGGUUGUGGCUGGACUCGCGGCUUAUCAGCUUGUUUGUGGGGUAGUUGCUUACCAAGGCUUUGAGGGGUAGCCGGCCUGAGAGGGUGACCAGCCACAAUGGGACUGAGAUAGGGACCAGAAUCCUACGGGAGGCAGCAGUGGGGAAUAUUGCACAGUGGGCGGAAGCCUGAUGCAGAAACGCCGCGUGCGGGAUAACGGCCUUCGGGUUGUAAACAGAUUUCGACUGUGACGAAGAGUGAGUGACGGUAAUGGGUAAAGAAGCAACGGCUAACUACGUG
rnacentral:rRNA from 1 species